AUGCCGGACAAGACCCAAUGGCCUAAAUCUGACCAUGGAUUCUUCAUGCAUCCACCACUAUUGAAGGCCACAGCUGGUAGGCGUAAAACUGAGAGGUACAAAGGUUGUGGUGAGAAGGAAAGGAAAAGUGGUCAACACUUAUGCCCUAUUUGUAAGGAAUAUGGGCAUCAUUGGCACAAAUGUAAGAAGGGAAACCCAGAGGACAUUGCUGCAAUGAUGGAUGUGAGACAACCACCAAAGAAAAGGACAAAGACAACCAAAACAGCUGAGUUAUCCAUUGUGCCUUGCGAAGAUGGAGUACCAACAAGAAUGUGUUUUCCCCCAAGCAAAAGCUUGGAGAAUACAAACAAAAUGGGAAAAGGGGGGAAAUCUGAAUCGGUUCGAUCCAAGAGAUCAAGAACCGGCUCAAAACAGCCGGAGCCAAUUUCCAUCGAGUUUCCUAUGCCCGGCGAUGAAACAAAUGUUCCUGCGAAGGUUAGGGUAUGUGAUGCAUGCCAACUA
rnacentral:rRNA from 1 species